rnacentral:rRNA from 1 species
UGGGGAAUAUUGGACAAUGGGCGCAAGCCUGAUCCAGCAAUGCCGCGUGUGUGAAGAAGGCCUUCGGGUUGUAAAGCACUUUUAUCAGGAGCGAAAUACCACGGGUUAAUACCCUAUGGGGCUGACGGUACCUGAGGAAUAAGCACCGGCUAACUUCGUGCCAGCAGCCGCGGUAAUACGAAGGGUGCAAGCGUUAAUCGGAAUUACUGGGCGUAAAGCGUGCGUAGGUGGUGAUUUAAGUCUGCUGUGAAAUCCCCGGGCUCAACCUGGGAAUGGCAGUGGAUACUGGAUCGCUAGAGUGUGAUAGAGGAUGGUGGAAUUCCCGGUGUAACGGUGAAAUGCGUAGAGAUCGGGAGGAACAUCAGUGGCGAAGGCGGCCAUCUGGAUCAACACUGACACUGAGGCACGAAAGCGUGGGGAGCAAACAGG